UUAUUUUAUUUUAUUUUUUUUGGGCUAUAUUCUGGUUGUUGAUUUAGUAAGUAGAUGGCCAUGAUUUGUGAUUUGUAUGGCAGUAUCCUAAUUAUGUUUUUGAUGUUGCUUUAAAGCAGUAUCCUAAUUAUGGUUGGUUGUAAUGGUGGCUUUUUUUUUAAUUAGUUUUCUAACAAUUUCUGUCAUCGAUCAGGUUAGAAUACACUAAUUCUUGAAGAAAACAGAGAGGCAAAAAGUUAAAAGAGACAAAACAGGAAGGAGGUGGUUCUGAUGGCAAUGAUCAAGAACAAGAAAAUUUGUGAAAGGCUGUUAAUAAUUUGAUGAAAAAACAAAAGUUGCGAGCAGUGAGGCAACUAGUUAAAGGACAGGAUGAUUCA
rnacentral:lncRNA from 1 species